AGAGUUCUUAGCCGCCUCCUUUGAAGAGUCUCGGCACCUGGAAUUCUACCUUAUAUGGACACAGAAGUUACUGAUGUCACAUGGACAGCGCCUGAAGUCCAGGGCGGGACAGUUGCUGCCUGUGGUCCAGUUCCUUCAGAAGGGCCUCCAGCGGCAUCUAGAUGACAUUUCCAAGCUGUAUGUACCUCGGGGUUGGUGGGCAGGGUCAGGUAGGGUUCAUGCAGUCAGUUAGCCCUGUGGUGUCUGAUCGGGGGCAGAAUAUUCUGGGGUCAGAGAUACACGUUCUGUCUGCUGGGUGGACUGAGUCCUGCCAUGGGUGCGAGGAUCCCCUCUGGGUGUGACUGACACUUGUUGAAGACAGCAUGUAACACUUGGAACAGGCAGAGAUGGGACGGACAUGCCUGAGGCAUAGUGAGAGCCCUUCACCCUGGGCAUGGACACAGGGUAGGACCAGGCAGCCUAGCCUGGAUUCUUGUGUCACAGUCUUGGGGCCAGGGAGCCUGAAUUCUAGGAUCUGCACUAUGAAUGUAGGCAUUUCCCUAGCAUGACAGUAAUACAGAAUAUAACUAGUGUUCUUGGGACGGCGCUAGUUAGAAUGACCCCAUGUGCAUCCCGUACCUCUUCCCCCUACAGCCUACUCUCAGGUAGUUUUUGGUGGUCUGUGACCCAUGUGUCCCUAUAUCAUCUGUCACUGAGCAGUUGCUACGUGUUCCAGCCAGGCGUAUAAUACGCGUGUCUGCUGGUCUCUCCAUACAGAGUCUCCAGGGGGAGGCUGGCACCUGGGCACUGUGACCCCCAUGGCCCCCCUGAUUAUCUUUAUAAAUGCUUCUCCAAGUCUAGAGCGAGCCCUUCCUCUUCGUGCCCUUUCCCUCCUAGACUUCUGCCUGGCUGCAGGAAGACUGGUGUUGGGGGCGGCUGUGCUAAGGCAUGGGUCUGCUUAGCAAGGCACAUGCGCCUAACCUUUCCCUGGCUGGUGCACCACAGCUCCCCAAGAGGUUGCU
rnacentral:lncRNA from 1 species